rnacentral:lncRNA from 1 species
CCGGGAGGCUGGGGCCGGAAAGCGGAACCGAGAGCGCUUUCCGCCGUGCGGCGAUGAACCUCCGGGAAAGACGCUGGGAGGCCAGGAUGCCCGGCGCAACUGGACGCUCAUCGGGAGUCACGGGGUCGGCCCUCAGGGGAACGGGGACUAUCCGUAUCAACUCGGUGUUUGUUCGUUUUCUUCACCUUGCGGUUUGUGCCCUCUCCACAUUUCCUCUCUGUGUCUACCAUUCUCCUGGGGGACGUGGCAAACCGUGAGCCGCUGCGUUUGAGUUUUGGGAAACCCUGCGGAAACGCCCUGGCGCCGGUGGUUUUGCGCGUCCUACCCUGUGUCACCUCAGGGUUAUGAUCUGGCCCCUGGCAAGGCUCCCCAAGUGUGAUGCCUCCCCCCGUCCAGAUGACUGCAUUUUGAGGAUGGAGUCAGUCUGGUGGCAUUUUUUGCUUAAGUAAACAAUUGUAACCGUUUGUGUAGCAUCAGCGUUCAACAGCUGCCUGUGCAAAUCGAAAAAAGCGAAACUUUGGAAACUAGGAAGCAUCAGAUGAAUAAUUCUGAAGACUUGAUGUCAACGGGAGUAUCUUGUUUUUAAACUUUUGGUUUUCUGUUCUGGAGACAAACAGUUCAUAUGCACUAAAGAAAAAAGUGUCAUUAUUUCAGAUGCUCAUUGCCAGCAAAGAGAACUGUAUUGCAAGUCAGGCUUCACUCCCAGUAUUUUCUGAAUGUUUCA